AGGGCGAAGUUGCCGAUGCGCUUUCCGCAAUGCUGCAGGAAGCGAUGUCCGAGUCGCGCUCACAGGUCAACGUGCACGACGUCGAAGAGCUCCCGGCCGAAUGGGCCGACAAGCUCGAGGCGGCCGGAUACGAUGAUCUCGACUCGAUCGUCAACGCGUCGAUCGAGGACCUCACGGCGAUCGACG
rnacentral:misc_RNA from 1 species